UUUUUUUUCCUCUCUCUUACAAGAGCCUGAAGAGUUCUGGACCCCUGAGUGCUUGUCCGGAAACUCCUUCCUUUUGAGCAUUUCUCUCAAGCUGGGAGCCUCCUGAAAUCCUAGAUACAAUUGGAUUCUCUGUAGGAAGUGAGUUAGGAUGAUGCCUGUAGCCCCAGUGGCAUUGUUCCUGUUUGAAGCGCACUGAUACUGAAAAACCGAGUAACAGUAGCUUAAAAAAUGUUCCCUGAGGCUGAACGAGGUCUUGUCAGACUGCAUCACAAAGCAAAACCUUGAGCGUAACUCCACUCAGGUCACUCUUUUCUUUCCCUGUGCUUCUUUGUGCCAAUAAACUCCUUCUUCUGUGA